rnacentral:misc_RNA from 1 species
CAUAGAAAAGCUCUAUCUCGUACCUAAAAUUGCAGCUGGGUGUAAGAACUCUGGCGCCUUGCUUCCCAGCACAACAUUGUGGAAUCAAUCCAGUGGCGUUAAUUAAGCAAUCGCUGCAUUGCUCCUUAGACAAAUCAGGAGUGCACUGCGCUAGUGCAUAUAUGGUUUGGUUAUUUUUUGUAGUUGCAUUACCAGUUGCGAACUUACGAAGGGAAUCGCCAGACGCAGCUCGACUGGUCAGGCUGGCUAAAAGAGGGUUUAGCACCUGAUUGAAUUGGGUUACGUCGGAGACGUUGUUAACGUUGAACAGAAUAAGUUCAGGAUUAAAUUCCAUCUUGCCAAAUAUGGAGCGGUUUGAGUACCUCAACAUACAAUCAUCAGACCAACCAAUAGCCUCCUUCUGGCUGGGGCAGAGGUUCCUCAGCAACUGGCUGGAGUUUUUUAUGCAACUACGGCAAAUAUCAGG